rnacentral:miRNA from 1 species
ACCUUAGAGACCAACUAAGUUAGUUAUUGGUAUGAGCUUUCGUGUGCAUGCAAACUUCUUGUAUGCACACGAAAGCUCAUGCCAAUAACUAACUUAGUUGGUCUCUAAGGU